AUGGAAGAUUCAGCACAGCAGCGCCGCUUGGCAGCCACGGCACCGCCACCAUGGCGCCAGGUGCGCCCCCCUGGCGCUCCCCACCUCUUCUUCCCCCAGCCGAGCCGCACGACUUACUCCUCCGACGCGGAGGAGAGCGGCCGUGAUAGUGCUAUCUCAGAGUUCGUCAACAUAGCGAUGACAAGAGCAAAUGCGCUAACCCUGUUCGACGCAAUGGAAUCAUUGUUGGAGCUUCCGUUAUAUGACCUCAGCAGAUCCGACUGGAAGGCCGCCCUUGACAAGGCCAGGGAGGAAAUUGCUGCGCGGCAGCGCCGCUGCGGCCCCCUGCUGCGCCCCAUCUCUUCUUCAUCCAGCAGAGCCAGUCGACCUAGCUCAUACACAAUGCCACACAAUUUCUAG
rnacentral:rRNA from 1 species